UUCGCUUCACCAUCCCGGGAAAAGAGAUAUUGCCUGUUGCCUACCUGCCAUCUUGGUUUACUUCAGUAAUAAUACAACAAAAUAUGGCCUCUUUGUGAAUAUUUAAUUAGAAACAUUAAUAGGAACGAUGGAGCGAACCAGCCAAACAAAAAAUUGCUUUCAGAAUUACAAACAACCUCGUGAUGUUACAUCUGUACGCUUAGCCGGCAGCUUAGGUAACGAUAGCCCAGUGCCUGCAGCCGCUCCAUCCCCCACACCAGUCGGGGUGCCGACGGUGACAGAGAUGAUGCCUCUGCGACUACAAGUUUGAAUGAAGAUGUCUACCAUGACACCAAUAAUUACUGGCCAGUCCCGUGGACAGCAAAAUACAAAGAAGAUUUUAAAUGCAAGAACCCGUGGUUAGGAUAUAAAACAAACAAACAAAAAAAUUGAGUGUCUGGUCUGAAGCACUAUAAACUGUCUCUCCACUGGUAUCAGCAAGGACGAAUGUAUAUCUCUCUCUCAAAAGCUGAUGAACUUUGAAAUUUUGGCCUCUGGCCAUGGAAGUAGAGGGGCAAGUGUGUCAGCCUUGAGAAAUAAGGUGAGGUAACAUGCUUUGGUCAAGUCACACACUCAAGCUGUGAAGAUAGCACAAAAACAGAAAAAAUUGUAAUUGAACAUCCAAUGGAGUCUAUGACUGAUUCGUACAUGAAGGAAACCAAACUGUUUUGAACAGCAUACAAUUUGGCCAAAAAGAAUAGACCCUUUUCUGACCAUGAGAGCCUCAUUGAGCUGCAGGAAUUGAGUGGUAUAAAGACAGGCUCAAUACUUCAUUCACGUUACAGUGCAACACAAAUAACCAAACAAGUUGCCAGUGAGAUACAGAGCAAAAUCAUCAGUAGCAUACUAGCAACAUCAAGUAAGUUAGCCACCCUGAUUGACCAGGCCUCUUUGUUAAGUCAUAAAGCUGUCAUCAAUGAAAGUAUACAGGACCCGGUUGAAGAGCCACCGUGCUGCCUCUUCUACACAGUGCUUUCUACACAGUGCAGUGUGAAAACUACAGAAAGCAAGUCUGUCUGGAAUAUACUGUAGUACAGGGGUAAACAGGCUGUUGACAGGUUUAAAAAAAUGGUGUUUUUUUUAAUCUGGUGUUCAAAAUCAGUAAUUAUUUGAUGUUUAUAUAAGUAUUGAAAUACCUCCCUGAUGUAAAGUCACUUGAGCCAAAAAUAUGAGCACUUAUUUAGAAACCCAGCACUGGGUUAAGAGAGUAUAUACCUGUGGUUUUCAUGAAUAUGUUGUAAACUGUAUAUAUUUUUGUUCAUUGUUAACUAAAUAUUGUUAUUUUGUAACAUAUUGUUUUCAAUAUAUUGUGGAAUAUUUUGAAUGAUAAUGAUAUUUGAUAUUUAUGAUGAUAAUUAUAUAUACCUAAAGAGGUACUUACUGAAUAUGCCUGAUCUUUAUAAAAAAAAGUGUCCAUCUGUUGAAACUAAAUUAUUUAUUUCAUUUUCCGUUUUUAAUAUUUUAGUUUAUCUAGUUUGUUUUGAUGUGUGGAAGAUGAUGUUAUGUCUUUUAUAUUUAAGGUGAAACAUGAACAACGAUGCAUUGCCAAAAUAUGAGAAAUGAUAAUUCCUGUCAUCCUUCUCUGCUAUUGUCAUAGCAGUACUUACUCUGAAGUAUUUGCUUAAACUUAGUUUAAAAGAUCAGUUUGCAAGAGCACGCCAACAAAACCAAGUUACUUAAGUGCAUGCAAAUGCAGGGAAUGACAAUACGUUGGUCAUAUGAUUAGCCUCCAA